GAUGAACGCUGGCGGCGUGCUUAACACAUGCAAGUCGAACGAAGCACUUUGAUCGAUUUCUUCGGAUUGAAAUUUUAGUGACUGAGUGGCGGACGGGUGAGUAACGCGUGGGUAACCUGCCUCACACAGGGGGAUAACAGUUGGAAACGGCUGCUAAUACCGCAUAAGCGCACAGUACCGCAUGGUACAGUGUGAAAAACUCCGGUGGUGUGAGAUGGACCCGCGUCUGAUUAGCUAGUUGGCAGGGCAGCGGCCUACCAAGGCGACGAUCAGUAGCCGACCUGAGAGGGUGACCGGCCACAUUGGGACUGAGACACGGCCAAACUCCUACGGGAGGCAGCAGUGGGGAAUAUUGCACAAUGGGGGAAACCCUGAUGCAGCGACGCCGCGUGAGCGAAG
rnacentral:rRNA from 1 species